CUCAUAAAUGUGGGAAGCUAGUGCCCCAAGAAUGAGAGCCACCUAAAACAAACAGCUCAAAGAGCCAUACUUCUGAUCAGAGGAAACAACAGGGAAAUGAAAUGAAACUGCACAGUAUCAUGGACUGGACUCUGCUUUGUUUGACAAUUUGAUCACAUAUUUAAUUGUGUCACAGUGUCUGUAUAAGAUUCGGCAAAAACAGAAAUGUUCUUGCAGAACAUAUUCACAGAAUCACUUUAUGAUGGAAGAUGAUGUCAUGCGAAAUUUUUUCUGCAGCUCCAUGAAUGUAACAUG
rnacentral:lncRNA from 1 species